GACGUAGGGGGCAAGCGUUGUUCGGAAUUAUUGGGCGUAAAAGCGCUCGUAGGCGGGACAGGAAGUUCGUGUUGAAAGACCUCGGCUCAACUGAGGGACCGGCUCGAAUACUCUUGUUCUUGAGGCAAUCAGAGGGUGAUGGAAUUCCCGGUGUAGCGGUGAAAAUGCGUAGAGAUCCGGAAGAACACCGGUGGCGAAGGCGGUUAGCUGGGCAGUUGCUGACACUGAGGCGCGACAGCGUGGGGGAGCAAACAGG
rnacentral:rRNA from 1 species